rnacentral:rRNA from 1 species
AGUGAACGCUGGCGGCAGGUCUAACACAUGCAAGUCGAACGGCAGCACAAGAGAGCUUGCUCUCUGGGUGGCGAGUGGCGGACGGGUGAGGAAUGCAUCGGAAUCUGCCCAUUUGUGGGGGAUAACCUCGGGAAACCGGGACUAAUACCGCAUACGACCUACGGGUGAAAGCAGGGGAUCUUCGGACCUUGCGCAGAUGGAUGAGCCGAUGCCGGAUUAGCUAGUUGGAGGGGUAAAGGCCCACCAAGGCGACGAUCCGUAGCUGGUCUGAGAGGAUGAUCAGCCACACUGGGACUGAGACACGGCCCAGACUCCUACGGGAGGCAGCAGUGGGGAAUAUUGGACAAUGGGCGCAAGCCUGAUCCAGCCAUGCCGCGUGUGUGAAGAAGGCCUUCGGGUUGUAAAGCACUUUUGUUGGGAAAGAAAAGCAGCCGGUUAAUACCCGGUUGUCAUGACGGUACCCAAAGAAUAAGCACCGGCUAACUUCGUG